rnacentral:lncRNA from 7 species
AAAUACGGGUGAUUUCUGGAUUUUAAAUGCGUGGAAGUUUUUUAGCUAGAAUCGUUUGGAUUUUUGAAGAGAAAAUGCAUGAUUUACCCUUAAAUGGGGGAUUUUCGAGGAGAAAAUGCGUGAUUUGGGGGUAAAAUGGGAAGUUUUCGAAGAGAAAAGGGGUGAUUUCACUUAAAUUGGGAAUUUUUACUUGAAAGAGAAGAAUGGGUGAUUUUUCUUAAAAUGGGGCAUUUUUGUCGGGAAAACUGGGUGAUUUUCGAGUUAAAUCUGGGAUUUUUGAAGGGAAAAUGGGUGAUUUUCCCUGUGAAGUGGGGUUUUUUGAGGAGAAAAUGCGUGAUUUUCCAAAUAAUUGGGGAUUUUUGAAGGGAAAAUGGGUGAUUUUCGAGUUAAAUCUGGGAUUUUUGAAGGGAAAAUGGGUGAUUUUUGGGUUAAAUGGGAGAUUUUUGAAGAGAAAACGGGUGAUUUCUGCUUAAAUGCGUGAUUUUUUAGCUAAAUGUUGGAUUUUCGAAGAGAAAAUGCAUGAUUUACCCUUCAAGGUGGGAUUUUCGAGGAGAAAAUGUGUGAUUUGGGGGUAAAAUGGGGGAUUUUCGAGGAGAAAAUGUGUGAUUUUGGGGUAAAAUGGGAAGUUUUCGUCGAGAAAAGGGGUGAUUUUCACUUAAAUGGGGGAUUUUUUUAAGAGAAAAGGGGUGAUUUUCACUUAAAGGUGGGAUUAUCGAAGAGAAAAUGGGUGAUUUUCGGAUUAAAUGGGGCAUUUUCGUCAGGAAAACGAGUGAUUUUCGAGUUAAAUCUGGGAUUUUUGAAGGGAAAAUGGGUGAUUUUCCUUAAAAGGGGGUUUUUGAGGAGAAAAUGCGUGAUUUUCCAAUAAUUGGGAUUUUUGAAGGAAAAAUGGGUGAUUUUCGAGUUAAAUCUGGGAUUUUUGAAGGGAAAAUGGGUGAUUUUCGGGUUAAAUGGGGGGUUUUUGAGGAGAAAAUGCGUGAUUUUCCAAAUAAUUGGGGAUUUUUGAAGGGAAAAUGGGUGAUUUUCGAGUUAAAUCUGGGAUUUUUGAAGGGCAAAAUGGGUGAUUUUCGGGGUUAAAUGGGGAUUUUCGAAGAGAAAAUGUGUGAUUUGGGGGUAAAAUGGGGAUUUUCGAAGAGAAAAUGGGUGAUUUUUUCUUAAAUGCAUGAUUUACCCUUAAAUGGGGGAUUUUUGAGGAGAAAAUGCAUGAUUUACCCUUAAAUGGGGGAUUUUCGAGGAGAAAAUGGGUGAUUUGGGGUAAAAUGGGAAGUUUUCGAAGAGAAAAGGGGUGAUUUUCACUUAAAUGGGGGAUUUUUGAAGAGAAAAGGGGUGAUUUUCACUUAAAGGUGGGAUUUUCGAAGAGAAAAUGGGUGAUUUUUGCUUAAAUGGGGCAUUUUUGUCGGGAAAACGGGUGAUUUUCAAGUUAAAUCUGGGAUUUUUGAAGGGAAAAUGGGUGAUUUUCCCUUAAAUGGGGGGUUUUUGAGGAGAAAAUGCGUGAUUUUCCAAAUAAUUGGGGAUUUUUUGAAGGGAAAUAAUGGGUGAUUUCGAGUUAAAUCUGGGAUUUUUGAAGGGAAAAUGGGUGAUUUUUGGGUUAAAUGGGAGAUUUUUGAAGAGAAAACGGGUGAUUUCUGCUUAAAUGGCGUGAUUUUUUAGCUAAAUGUUGGAUUUUCGAAGAGAAAUGCAUGAUUUACCUUAAAUGGGGGGUUUUUGAGGAGAAAAUGCAUGAUUUUCCAAAUAAUUGGGGAUUUUUGAAGGGAAAAUGGGUGAUUCUCGGAUUAAAUGGGAGAAUUUUGAAGAGAAAAUGGGUGAUUUUGGGGUUAAAUGGUGCAUUUUCGAAGAGAAAACGGGUGAUUUUCGCUUAAAUGCGUGAUUUUUUAGCUAAAUGUUGGAUUUUUGAAGAGAAAAUGCAUGAUUUACCCUUAAAUGGGGGAUUUUCGAGGAGAAAAUGCGUGAUUUGGGGGUAAAAUGGGAAGUUUUCGAAGAGAAAAGGGGUGAUUUUUGGAUUAAAUGUGGGAUUUUCGAAGAGAAAAUGGGUGAUUUUUUCUUAAAUGGGGCAUUUUUUCGGGAAAACGGGUGAUUUUUGAGUUAAAUCUGGGAUUUUUGAAGGGAAAAUGGGUGAUUUUCCCUGAAGUGGGGGUUUUUGAGGAGAAAAUGCGUGAUUUUCCAAAUAAUUGGGGAUUUUUGAAGGGAAAAUGGGUGAUUUUCGAGUUAAAUCUGGGAUUUUUGAAGGGAAAAUGGGUGAUUUUUGGGUUAAAUGGGAGAUUUUUGAAGAGAAAACGGGUGAUUUCUGCUUAAUUGCGUGAUUUUUUAGCUAAAUGUUGGAUUUUCGAAGAGAAAAUGCAUGAUUUACCCUUAAAUGGGGGGUUUUUGAGGUGAAAAUGCGUGAUUUUCCAAAUAAUUGGGGAUUUUUGAAAAGGGGAAAAUGGGUGAUUUUCGGGUUAAAUGGGGGAAUUCUGAAGAGAAAAUGG